rnacentral:rRNA from 1 species
UACGAAGGGGGCUAGCGUUGCUCGGAAUGCCUGGGCGUAAAGGGCGCGUAGGCGGAUUGUACAGUCAGGCGUGAAAUUCCCGGGCUCAACCUGGGGGCUGCGCUUGAGACGUGCGAUCUUGAGUGGGGAAGAGGGUCGUGGAAUUCCCAGUGUAGAGGUGAAAUUCGUAGAUAUUGGGAAGAACACCGGUGGCGAAGGCGGCGACCUGGUCCGAUACUGACGCUGAGGCGCGAAAGCGUGGGGAGCAAACAGG